AGUGAACGCUGGCGGUAGGCCUAACACAUGCAAGUCGAACGGCAGCACAGUAAGAGCUUGCUCGUACGGGUGGCGAGUGGCGGACGGGUGAGGAAUACAUCGACACCUACUUUUUCGUGGGGGUUAACGUAGGGAACAUUACGCUACUAACGCUAAUGCCCUACGGAUGAAAGCAGGGGCAUUCUGGACCUUGCGAGAAUGUAUCAGCAGAUGUCGGAUGUGCUAGUUGGUGGUGUAAAGGCCCACCAAGGCGACGACCCGUAGCUGGUCAGAGAGGAUGAUCAGCAACACUGGAGCGGAGACGAGGUCCAGACUCCUACGGGAGGCAGCAGUGGGGAAUAUUGGACAAGGGGCGCAAGCCUGAACCAGCCAUACCGCGUGAGUGAAGAAGGCCUUCGGGUUGUAAAGCCCUUUUGUUGGGAAAGAAAAGCAGCAGGUUAAUACCCCGCUGUUCUGACGGUACCCAAAGAAUAAGCACCGGCUAACUUCGUG
rnacentral:rRNA from 1 species